AGACACCGAUGCGCGCCGGAAGAGCAGCAGCAGCAGCAGCAGCAGCAGCAGAGCACACGGGACCGAAAUGGCGUAGCGCGCAGUCCUCCGCCGCAGCAGCACAGCGGGGCCAGGCUCACCGAACAUCUCAGAGCCUGGCCCGUCGUUCUCAACCGACGAAUAUGAUGGAGGUGACUUUUAGUUCCAGUUCACUCGCUUCGAAACCAGUGCGAGAUCACCGGAGACGUGCCCUUCAUAUGUCAUAUCAAGAAGAGAAAGGAGCAGUCAUGAAAGGAUCUCUUGACCAGAUGAGACCAUCAUGUCUUUGUUCUUCAAACUGCUCUCCAUCCCGAUAAGUUGACUUUCCUCCAGCAUUAUUCAAGGGAAAUGUUUGUUCAGCAUACCAACUGUCAUUGGUCUAUGAACAUAUCAUCUCUGCACUUUGAAGACGACAACUGAAGUUGUUUUUAUCCAUGAAAGAACCAUAAGCUCUUCAUGUGCCCAAAAAAGUAACACAAUUGUGCCACAGUACAGAGCCAUCUCCUGGUCCUAUUUGUUAUAAAAAAAAGUCCAGUGUAGUAUUUAUAUGGUUGCAGGUUGUGUAAAAAAAAGUGAAAAUGGAAAUAGUGGAAGCGCACUUGCUUUGCAGGUAAAACAAAUGCACAUUUUAAAACUAAAUCAUGCAAACAAGAUGAAGUAGCUUCAUCCAACAGUUUUAUUAUCUGCAGAUUAAGUGCCUAGACACGUCGUUUUUUUUUUUUUUU